rnacentral:rRNA from 1 species
UACGUAGGGGGCAAGCGUUGUCCGGAAUCAUUGGGCGUAAAGAGCGCGUAGGCGGCCCAGUAAGUCCGCUCUGAAAGUCAGGGGCUCAACCCCUGAAUGCGGGUGGAUACUGCUGGGCUAGAGUUCGGUAGGGGAGACUGGAAUUCCUGGUGUAGCGGUGAAAUGCGCAGAUAUCAGGAGGAACACCGGUGGCGAAGGCGGGUCUCUGGGCCGAUACUGACGCUGAGGAGCGAAAGCGUGGGGAGCGAACAGG